UACGAAGGGGGCUAGCGUUGUUCGGAAUUACUGGGCGUAAAGCGCGCGUAGGCGAUGAUCUUUGUCAGAGGUGAAAGCCCGGGGCUCAACUCCGGAAUUGCCUUUGAAACGGGAUCGCUUGAGUCCGAGAGAGGAUGGCGGAAUUCCUAGUGUAGAGGUGAAAUUCGUAGAUAUUAGGAAGAACACCGGUGGCGAAGGCGGCCAUCUGGCUCGGUACUGACGCUCAGGCGCGAAAGCGUGGGGAGCAAACAGG
rnacentral:rRNA from 1 species